CAAGAUAUUGCUGAAUUAUGGUGCUAUAAACAAACACUUCUGAUAUAACAACAAACACUGUGGGACAUGUAACACAUUGGCAGUAUAUUUCAAGUGACAAACUCAUUUAUUGUUGGGAGUGGAGGAAAAGGAAAAACACCUUUCCAGAAGCCACAGCAAGGAAUUACAGCAAAGAAUGACCAGAGCUUAAGGGUACAGGCACAAAGUAAUUCUAACAACCUGCCUGGAAUGAAGCACUUGGAAGUAUGAACAAGAUUAGAGCAGUACCAGUGGUACAGGAGGUGGCUGCUGGGUCACUUUUGUCAGUGGGACUGGAAGGGAGCCAUCACCUGCCUCCUGGAUGGCCUGCCAGCCCUGGUGUGUGGUUAAACAGGAAAUAUUCUAACUGGCUGGGAUCCCAGUGAGCAAUUACAAAUAUUUUAUUAUAGUUAAAGGACUUGGAAUUCAGCCUCAGGCUGUGGGCAUCAGAAAAUCCAUGUGUGGAAAUCCCAAGUGUUGCAAGCAGCCUGGGAGGGUUUUAUAUGGAGGGAUUCCUUCUCAUUUUACUGAAGUUACACUCGUGGUUUAAAAAUAAAAUAAAAAGCUUGGACUUGCA
rnacentral:lncRNA from 1 species